rnacentral:rRNA from 1 species
UUGCUGAUCACACAGUCCUAGCACUGGUGACAUAUCUUUCAAGUGUCUGCCCUAUCAACUUUCGAUGGUAGUUUAUGUGCCUACCAUGGUGGUAACGGGUAACGGAGAAUAAGGGUUCGACUCCGGAGAGGGAGCCUGAGAAAUGGCUACCACAUCCAAGGAAGGCAGCAGGCGCGCAAAUUACCCACUCUCAGCUUGAGGAGGUAGUGACGAAAAAUAACAAGACAGCUCUCUAUGAGGUCUGUCAUUGGAAUGGGUACAAUUUAAACCCUUUAACGAGGAUCUAUUGGAGGGCAAGUCUGGUGCCAGCAGCCGCGGUAAUUCCAGCUCCAAUAGCAUAUACCAAUUCUGUUGCUGUUAAAAAGCUCCUAGUUGGAUCGUUGCCAAAGAAUGAGU